ensembl:ncRNA F45D3.11 ncRNA
UAUCAAAUUUGGUUAUUCAAAAAUGAAAGAACUUCAUGGGCAUUUUAGAUGCACGAUGUACACACCGCCUUCCCAAACGGCCACAGUUUGCGCAUUGCGUGUUGUCGUUUUCGUUAUGUGUACAUUUUGUAUAGUCAUUGAUCGCGAAAAGUUCCUUUUGUCCACUGAGAUUAUGAGUGA